rnacentral:lncRNA from 9 species
CUCCCCUCUGGGCACCACCAGUCUGCCCUCUGUGUCUGUAUGGGCGUCUUGUUUUGUUUUGGCGAUUCGUUUAUUACGUUUUCUCAGAUUGCACAUGUGAGUGAGGUCAUCCGCGGUGAGCCUUUUUUCUCUUAUUUCACUUAGCCGAGGCCUCCGGGCGCUGUCAUCGCGCUGCUGGGAACCGCGGGGUUCCUCCGCGUCCGCGGCUGGGUAAUGCUGGUCCUCCUAUACACGAAACUGUCCGUCGCAGGCUGACCACCCCCUGGUGCUUUACAGUGACCGCGACGCCUGGAGCGAGACGUGCCGGCAGGGCAGGGACGGUUUCUGCGCGGAAAGCGGCUCCAGCAACGCUCUCAAUGAAACAGCGCCCGGGAGACUUUCUCCUUCAAUUUGCGCUUCCUAGAAACCGCCUUCCCAGAGACGGCAUUAAAAUCACGCAAAAGAUACUUCGUGUUUUCACAGAGCCCAGAAUUAGGUCCCAGAUUCAGGAAAUCAUAAAAGGGCGACUCCGGCUCAUCCGCGCGUGCACGUGCCCUCUCCACGCGCGGGACCCGGGCUGCCUUUCGUCACACAGUGCCAUCUUCGAAGGAGAAGUCAGCAGGAAGGGGUGGCAUGCAGAGGUCUGGGUGGAAGAACCACAGUGUCUCUGGAUUACACUGCACCCAAGGCAGAAGAAGAGGGAGGAUGAAGAAGGCCUCUUUCCGGAGCACCAACUCCAGAUGCAGACAGGGAGAGUGGUGUGCUGUGUUGGCACCACUGCACGUGUGCAGAACAGAAACUUUGCGGUGCAACAUUGAUGUGGAACAAGAGACUUGGAUUGAUUUUGUCCAGACGCAUCAAGACGUAUGUCUUAAGUGGAUGCAAGUUUGGCCUAUCAGUGGUACCCA